UAACAUUUGAAACUUAACUAUCUUAGUUGUAAUCAUGUGCUUCAACUGUAGAGGGUUAAUCAAUUUAGUGGAAGUGGAUAUUGAAUAUGUUUAAGCAUAAGGUUGUGUGUUAGGUUCAGGUAAUUGUAUGUUUUCCAGUUCACUUUAGUAGGUGCAUGCUCACAGUUCCAGAAACAACAUGAGGUCUUAUGAAUAUUUCAUGUUUCUAUGUAUAAUGAAAAUAAUAAGCCUUCAUCCAUUCUUAUAUAUACUCUUUGAUCUUGUGGUGUUUGUGCAGGUCCAGAACAUCUGCACUAAAACACCUAAAAAGAAGUCCUACAAAGAUUUGGUUAGUUGCUUCAUGCUUUCUCUAUUCCUCUCUUAAUACUUAGCUCUAUUUGAUUGAUCUGUGCUAUACUGCUAUGUGCUAUUUUUUAUUUUUGUAUCUCAACUUAAUCUUUGAGAACUGCAUGUACCACUAUUUCUGUAUUUUUAUUAAUUUUGUUCAUACUGCUAUGUUCGAUCUGUGCUAUAGAGCUAUGGUAGGACAAGGGUCUCAUUCUAUUUGCUGAAACAUCCCAGCAACAAUUUCCAUGUCCAUAGUACAGUUAUUGAUUGGUGACUUAUGGCCACCAAAAUAUUCAUCCAUGUUAGUUGUAAUUGCACUCUUAGAUGUGCCUCCACUGCAUCCACUACUACUCUAUAUGAUAGUCUCAACUCUGACCCUCUUGACCCUCGACAUGAGUGUCUUGCUUAAAUGGUUUUUUUAGAUGCAACUGUGGUCCUCUUGUUACCUCUAGAAUGUGUAUUUGUACUGCUGUAGAAAAACACCUCAUCAGACUAUUUCCAAUGUUGGUGUAUAUUUACUUGAACCAGUGUUCUCUCAUGGUCAACUACAUCAUCUACCGUGCCUAUUUUUCUAGGACUCUUAAUGCCAUCAGGCUGGCAUUUUGUUCAACUCAUUAGCUGGUUACAGUAACAAGGAACCACCAUUUUGAUGCAAAGGAGCAGAUGCGACAGGAUCACAAGUAGAAGGAGCGGCGACGAUGCUGUAGCGAGAGACACGGGUGCCGAGGUUGUUGUGCUGCGGUGGUGGCAGGACAGAAAGGAAACGAAAAAGCAGGAGCCAGGGCUGUUCAACAACGUGACCGAGUCGCUGAGGCGAGGAAGAGUAAGGUGAAGGCACUCGUUGACGCCUUUGAGACUGACAGAGCGUCAUCUCGCUGCAGGAAACCAGCAAGCCUGCUGCUGCUCCAGCUAUGGAAGUAGGUGUCGUGCCAUGAGUGCUUCUUGACCUGCAGUGUGCAUGAUCACACCUUUCUUGGAAUUUUGGACUUUUUUUGGUUGUUAGUGACCAUAAAAGUGGUGCUUGUUGAGGUUUGCUCGUUCCCAUGUAAACUGAUUUUCUCAUAGGAGUUUCCAUACUUUUGUAGUGCUACGAAAAAAGGAAAGUCUGUACAGGUUUUGUGUCUAUGAAAGGCUUGAGAAGUUGGCAUUGUACUGAUAAGUGAUAAGUAAACAAGUUAUUGUAAUGAUUUAAACUAGAUUGUUUUGAAAGGAAA